rnacentral:rRNA from 1 species
UACGGAGGGGGCUAGCGUUGUUCGGAAUUACUGGGCGUAAAGCGCGCGUAGGCGGACCUGCAAGUCGGGGGUGAAAGCCCGAGGCUCAACCUCGGAACUGCCUUCGAUACUGCGGGUCUCGAGUCCGGGAGAGGUGAGUGGAAUUCCUAGUGUAGCGGUGAAAUGCGUAGAUAUUGGGAGGAACACCAGUGGCGAAGGCGGCUCACUGGACCGGUUCUGACGCUGAGGCGCGAAAGCGUGGGGAGCAAACGGG